rnacentral:rRNA from 1 species
UACGUAGGGUGCAAGCGUUGUCCGGAAUCAUUGGGCGUAAAGCGCUCGUAGGCGGCUCGGUAAGUCCGCUGUAAAAGUCCAGGGCUCAACCCUGGAAAGCCGGUGGAUACUGUCGGGCUAGAGUCCGGAAGAGGCGAGUGGAAUUCCUGGUGUAGCGGUGGAAUGCGCAGAUAUCAGGAGGAACACCGAUGGCGAAGGCAGCUCGCUGGGACGGUACUGACGCUGAGGCGCGAAAGCGUGGGGAGCGAACAGG